UAAAAAAAAGUGACUCACAUACAUGAUGGAGCUUCCUCUUCGAAUAAAGAAGCACAAAAACCAAAAUUCUAGUGUGAGGUUUGCAAGUUAGUUGUCUCCAAUUUUAUUGCAAGAUACAUGAUUUAUGUCAAAGUCAUGGACAAUUCUGCAGAGACAAAAUUUCUGUUAUUUGAUAGCAUAGCUUGUGAGAUUAUUGGAGAAUCUGCAGCGUCUCUUCUUGGUGGUUCAUUUGAUGAAAUUACAGAUUUUGAAGAUUUACCCAGCGCUAUCAAAACCAUACUUGGAAAAACAUUUGCAUUUUUGGUGUGUGUGGAGCGAGAUAACAUUUGGGAAGUAAAGGAUUCAUAAAAGGUUUCUAAAAUCCUUUCCAAAGAGGGACUUCUAGCAGAGCAAGAAAUUAUGGAAUCAAAUGAAAUGGUGAACCCAACUUCAAUUGUCUCUGGUGAUCAUGUUAUCUAUUCCUUACGGAAUCAAGUUUUAAUCUCUGAAUUUGAAACAGAGACAAAUAUAUUAACAAAUAUAUCUUUUGGCUUUUCCUAGGUUCACCUUGCCUUGACUUAUAGUCAAGAGACUACUGAGUCAAUUUCUCCCUCUUAUAAACGUGUCUACCCAUGUAAUGCUGAUACGCCUGAACAAUCAUCCU